rnacentral:lncRNA from 1 species
CUUUUUUUUUUUUUUUUUUUUUUUUUUUUUUCUUCCUUAAAUGAAAGAGGAUAAUUUUAGAUUAGCAGUGAAUCUGAACAGAGAGAAGAGGAAAAUGAUGGAGAACACCUGGAGUUAUAAACUGGAUUUACUUGUCAGUUAGUGCCACUUAGUAGCUACUACGUAUCUUGGAAUCCAGUUGAAUUAUGCCAAUAAUAAUAACAACAGCAACAAUAAUAACAAUACUCUGGAUGUGUAUAAUGACUUUGACUCCUCAGGACUUGGAUAUGUUUUAGGGGUCAUUUUUUGAGGCACUCAUCAGAGUGGGUUCUAUUCCUGAAGAGAGCCUUUGGGUGCCUUGGUAGUAAGAAUUCUAUCUAAAAUAAGAAAAUGAUUUUUUUCUUCACUCAUCCUCCUGUGGUCUUGUAGGGGAGAGCAGUUCUACUUGCAGCUCGGGCUGCUUUCAGGUGUAAGUGUUCUCAGGAAAUACGCUAAUCCAGCAGAUCCAUUUCAUGCUGAAAUGCUGAAUUCUCUUCAGAGCAGUCCUGUCAGCUGGCCUGGGUGAAUAGGUCACCAGUUUUAAUUGUGAUGAAUCUCCCAUCUCUUCCCUGAACCAGCAAAUCUUCCAGGCUUGGUAUCCAAAUGCAGAUAAUAAUUGGAAAUACAGUCACAACUGUAAAUCAGACAGAGUUAAAAUAUUUCUCACUGACAUUAACUACAGAGGUAAAAUCAAGGUCCAAAUUACACUAAAUCAAGUAAUUUACUUCAGUUACAUCUUGGGAAAUCAAUAUCAUCAUCAUUUUCUAUAACUGUUCUGAAACUCUUUCAAACUGAGUAGGUGCAAAGAGUUACUUCCCUUAAGUGAGGUCACCCAAGUCCCAGAUACAGCUCCAUCACUUUGUCUUGCUCUCAGAUGCUUUGAAGAACAAACAGAGUGUUUGGAACAAACUAGGCUGCCAUCUGUAGGAAGUGUUUCCAGGCUCUUUUCCAGAAAGGGUGAUGUUCUCUUCCACAGCCUCUUCCUUAUGUUAGCCUGGGAGGAUCUGAUUAAAGAAAUGUAUUUUGAAUGGGAGAUAAGGGACAACAUUUGCCCUCAUCUUCUCUUACUGUUAACCUUUGUCAUUUAAGGAUUUUAAGCAGCUGAACUCCAGAUUCUUUGCCUUUUCCCUUGCUACUUUUAGGAUUGUGGAUUAUAAUUCAUCUGAGUCUAUUGCUUUCUCAACUUUUAAUCAUUCUAAUUACCUAAUUAUCUACUGUAAUGAAAUGAUAAAGCCCUUAACAGUUUAGUCUUCCUUCUCCCUAUAGGAAAUUCUGUCUCCUCCUCUGGGAUAUUACCUUCUUUGUUUAAAAGACAGAGAAAUUAUUUGAGGGCUGGGCAUAAAUGCUAGUUUUGCUUGCUUAAACACUUUCCUUCAUCACUGAUUCCUUUUUAUAAUUGUAGUUACUCUUUAGUCUUUGUUUACAGAUCAACGAUUUUGUUAAAUUUCCUUAAUAAUAAAGGGCAGCAGGGAGAGAGAAAACAGACAUUGCAUAAAAUCUAGAAACUCUUUCCAAAUCAGAGGAAAAAAAUGAAGAUUUUACCAACACCAAAGGUGACUGUUUAUAGCAAUGAACUUCAAAUUCACACUGUAUUUUUACUCAGUGAAGCAUACUUUUUCUCUGCAAGAUUACUUUAUAAUGAGAAGUAUGGAAUGAGGCAUCAAUAUAUGAAAUUAUAUUUUGGGCCAAGGAAAGAAAUGAAUUUGGAUUUCUCCACUGUCAAUAAAUAUUCCAAUUUUGCAUCUGUUUUAUAUUAUAGCUUUUUUAUAUUUGUCCUUUAGCUUUGCCUCAAAAAAAGAGGAGUAUUUUUGAAAAAAUACCGUAGGUACUUGAGAAUACAGUUUGGAGAAGAUCUUACAGAAGAGAAUCUGUAUGGGCUGAGAUAGCUGACUGCAGUUAUGGGGGAGGUAUUGGAUCUGCAGUCAGUUCCUGUUUUGUAUCCUGGCUGGCUGCCUCAGAGGAGUUGCUCACUGAAUAUGCUACAUGGUAUGUUUCCUGACCAGUACAUCGCCUAGUCUGUCCAAGUGCCAUGUCCGGUCUUCUUCCCUAUUUAAUGUUUUUUGCAUGUCCUUUCUCUUGUCCCCAGCAGAAGAGGGUCCAUGUGAUACUGUUCUGCUUCAGGGUCAGUCUCUAUAGCUAGCACAAGUUUUUUUCCCAGCUUUCUUUCUGGAACACAUUGAACACAUGAAGCUUGAACUCAUUGAACACAUGAAGCCAGAGAAAGUACCUGACUUCUACAUUAGCGAAUAGCCAAAGAGAUAAGCAUUUACUUUCUGAAAGGAAGACUAGAAGCAGUAAGGGGCAUGUGAUAUGAUUCAAUUUCUCCCUCACUCAAAAAGUGAGUCAGUAAAAAAUAAUCCGCCCAAAGCGGUAUUUGAACAGAGAAUAAAAGUGUUAGAAAAUUCAGAGAGAAAGAUCUGUGAGGAGGAGGAUAGACAAGGAAAAGAAGGAAAUGAGAGGACAAAGCACUUAAAAUGUGAGGAGGAAUUAGCUUAGGAGAAGUAUAGGAAAAAAGUCCUACUAUGCAUGAAAGAUAUGGAAGAACCAAAAAGAAUGGAGUUCUGCCUGUUAGAAAAGGAGGGUCAGGACAUGAGAGAAAGUAUUCAAAAGAGCAUGAAGAGGGCUAAGAAGAAAGAAGUAGAGAGAGGAGGUUGGAAAAAGUGGGAGCUGACAAAACUUUUAGGCAUACACACAGAGCUGUUAUACACUUGACUAUUUCUUUAGGCAGAAUGAUACAAGCAUAAUUCAUGCCUGUUAUAAGAAAAUUUAAUUUAAGUCCAAUCCUUUCUGUUACCCUGGAUUUGAAUUCUACACCUCUGCAGGCUUACAGGGAGGUGGAGACAUCCUAUUCAUACAGCAUUCUCACACACAUUAAUUCCCAGAGCAUGGGACUUCAUGUCACUUUUCUAUCCUUAGAAUCUAAAGUUUUGUAAUUUUUGAAAUAUGUUUCCUUAAGUCCACCCUGCUUGUCUGCUAUUACAAAUACUUUUUCUUGUUUAAGGCAGUCAAGGUUCUAAUUUUCUCUUCUAGCAAGUAUGUUUGGCUGUGGAAGGCUUCCCAACAUGUCUCCAUCCAUACAGGAAUUAUUCCUUUUCCUGGAGUGUUUAAUCAGCGCACUCACAUGAAGAGCAGCCCUCUGACCUGUACAAACCUCUGUCCCUGGCUCAGAACCACAGUGACCUCACAGGUUUCCACCUCAUGUAUCCACCCUUCCUUAAGGAGUAACUUUUCAGCUGUAAUUUAUUAUGUCUACGAACAAGUCCUGGUAAACUCAUCUUCUUUUGCUUUAAAAGCUGCUUAUAAGGGAACCUGAUUUACUUGCUCCUAAAUUCAGCUGAAUGGCAUAGAACAUUUUAGAGGGAUUGCCACAUAGCUAUUUUGAACACAUUUAUUUCUGUUUCCUGUAGUUACUGAUAUGAAUCUACAGGAAUUCAUAUCCUGUAUGUUCCAGACCUUUAAAUUCUAUAAACUGACAUACUUUCUUUGAAAUAUUUUAUUGCAUGGAAUUCUGAUUUCUAUGAUUUAAGGAUUGAGCCUUAUUGUCAGUAUAUCACUAAAAAACCCCACAAAUUCUCAGAAAUAAGAGAUGGUCAUAGCAGGUCUCCUUCCACAUUAAAGUUUUAAUUCUUUAUUAAAAUGGAAAUGCACAGUAAAUCAGGUGAAAAUAAUUAUUUUGAUUUUUAAAUCUUUUGCGGGAUGUUUUCAGGCAUAUGUAGUGACAUUUAUGUAGAUUCACCUGUCUUCAUUGAAUCUCUGAAAAAAAGAUUUCCUUGAACCUACUGUGAUCUCUUAUAUGUCAUUAUUAGAAAAGAUGUGGUAAGGAGCUCAGGCCCACAGAAAACAAUGACAACUGAAGAAAAUCUAAGCUUCAGAUAUUUCAGAUUUGGUUGAAAUAAUAUUUUAGAAAUCAGUAUUUUAGGUACCUUCUGAAUUUAAAUAUGAAACUCCACUUAAAUAAAGUGGACUUUUCUAAGACUUUUCAACAAGUCUUAGAAAAAAAUUCCUAUACACUCUGUUUUGAGUUGAGAAUGGUCCCAACAAGACAUAUCCCCUUGAAUAAAAGCAAUGAGGUCCCAUACACAUACCUCAGAAUUUUUAUAAAUAACAACAACAAUAAUAAUAGUAGUAGUAGCAGUUAUGUUCCAGAAGAAAAAAGAAUGUUUAAUAUAGACAAUACACUCAAAAAUGUUGCUCUGUUAUACAGAGAAAUUUAUGCCCAAGAGGUGAAAUUUUGUUUGCCAGAAUAAGGAAGCAUCUCCCCUAUUUCUCUCUCUGUGCCAACAGCAAGUAUUUAGACUAUUAGGAUUUUGUUUUUUCUUGACUGAGCUUCAUUCAAGUUAAGGAAUGGAAAUUGAAUAUAUAUAUAUAUAUAUAUAUAUAUGAACAGAUUUCAGCUUUAGUACCAGCUCAAAUUCUACAGCUAAAUCCUGGGACAUUCAUUACCCAGUGCUGAAAUUAUAUAUUUUAUAUUAUAUAUAUAUUGCUAUAUAUUGUUAUAUAAAGGUUAUUCAGUAACAGAACUUGAAUUAAAUGUAACUAUAAACUCUAUGAUAUGUAGGAAGUAAUGUACCUGACAUUUGAUUUUUUAAAAUUUGUAUUCGUGUUUAAUUCUGCCCAGUGUGUUGCCCUGCUGUUCUCAAAGUUGUCUCAUAGGUUUGAACUGACUUACACAGGACUGUGUGAAAAGUGUGGCUAUAAAGACAAAUGAAAGACACAGCAUUUUAUUGUUAUUAUCGAAAGAAACAUGAGCUCAGCGCUCUUGAGAUGCUGACUGUAAAGACAGUUUCUCAUUUUCCUUUUUGAUUGCCCUGGUUCCAUGGAACCUACACUCAAAAGCAAAGGCAAAGUAGAGUGAAGCUUUAUAUGUGUGCAGUGGAGAUGUAUGAGGAGGGUCUGAGGGUCACUAGAUGUUCAUGCCAAGUACUACUUUUGAACCUUUGGAUUCACCCAGACAUCUGCAAAGGCUGAAAAAUAUAUUCCUUUCCAGAACAGCAACUGUAAACCAGGCAUCGUGUCCUAAAAUUAAAUCAGAUUACUAUAUUUAGGCAAUAUAUCCUAGAAAUCUUGCCCCUCAGUUACUCCAUGGAGGGACCCAGGAUAUUUGCAUUAUUUGCAGUAGGGGUAAUACAACAAAUAACAUUCCUAUUUGUUGGCACUGCCUGCAUUAUUAAACCUUGCAACUUAAUGAGCCUUUGUUUAGUUUUGCUGGCCAUUUUUUUCCAGAGUCUGAGACAGCUAAACACCCAAAUCCAAAUGAAGCUAAAAGGGAAGGAAAAAUUUAGACAAAAUGGUGUCCAGAAUAGAUAAAACAUUUAAUAGCCUAAAGUGGGAUCUAGACAGCAUUUAAGUAUCUAUAUGUAUCCUAAAAUGCUAAAUCAGCCAAAGGAAAGAAAAGAAAAGAUAGUAACACUGUACCUUAGGUUGUGUUUUUGCAUUUGGGGAGUCCUAGAUACAUAUUUUGCUUUAUAGAAUUUUGUAUGUAUUUUUCUUGUCAUUGGAUAUAUAAAAACAUGCUUGGAAAAGUAAGAGAGGUUCUGGAUUCCAUUCCUGGCAUGAAGCAGCAAAAUAUAUCAUUAUGAUGUAAAUUCUGUGUUUGGACAGCAUGCUUCUUUGAAAGUCCCAAACUCCUGCCAUAAAGGUAAUUCUGAUUUAUAUUUAUCCACAUAAUUAGUUCUGGAAUAUUUUUUUUUUUUCAUUUCAUUCACAUACAUUUCAAAGAGGAAGAAAAUGUCAUAUUAAGAUUAUUCCACUGGAAAAGCAAAAAAAAAAUGUAAUAGCCAGCCACAAUUGACCACACAUCAUGAUAGCUCUAUAAAGAAAGAGAAAAAAA